rnacentral:rRNA from 1 species
CCCGGGUCUUGUACACACCGCCCGUCACACCAUGGGAGUGGAAUCCGCCAGAAGUAGGUAGUCUAACCGCAAGGGGGACGCGUUACCACGGUAGGUUUCAUGACUGGGGUG